UACGAAGGGGCUAGCGUUGCUCGGAAUCACUGGGUGUAAAGGGUGCGUAGGCGGGUCUUUAAGUCAGGGGUGAAUCCUGGAGCUCAACUCCAGAACUGCCUUUGAUACUGAAGAUCUUGAGUUCGGGAGAGGUGAGUGGAACUGCGAGUGUAGAGGUGAAAUUCGUAGAUAUUCGCAAGAACACCAGUGGCGAAGGCGGCUCACUGGCCCGGUACUGACGCUGAGGUGCGAAAGCGUGGGAGCAACAGGAUAGAACCUAGACGUCCGAGACCAACGUAUCCUGCUACCCGUA
rnacentral:rRNA from 1 species